rnacentral:tRNA from 1 species
AUUUAAAUAGCAUAUUUAGAGCAUGACACUGAAGCUGUUAAGGUGAUUUUAUAUCUUUGAAUA